AUAUCCCAAGCACAAGCCCAUCCUAGAAAUAGCCUUCUGGAGCCAUACCUUGCCUUGCUGACCCAUUUCCAAUGGUUAUUUUUGCUUAAGCAAUUGCCCGGCUCACAGCUGAGGUUCAGCAUAUUAUCCCAUCUCAGGGAUCCCUUCCAUGGCCCCGUGGAGGAGAGGACAUCUCCUCCUCUAGCUCUGCACCACGGCAGGAGGGCACACGUACCUCCUGAAGAGCUAUUUGCCAAAUUUUGCCCACUUGUUUUUCAGAGAAGGGGUUGAGACAGCGCAGGUAGCUCAGAGGCCCAAGCCGUAGGUCUGGUCCCAAAGAAAACAAACCGUCAGGGCCUGAAGGCUCUUAAUUAACUCUAUUAGAGUGAUAAUCAAGGCCUGCCCAGCCCCACAGGAAUGGAAAAAACCCUCCAGUGUGAGACUGGCUAAAGGCACUGGGCUGAAACAUGAAUAUUUUUACCCACUGUUAGUGGUUAGAAGGCAGUGAGAGUGAGGGAUGGGGAAAAGGAGAGAAGGAAAGAUCCUCAGCCCCUGCUUUAGCACCAGCAUGUAAGAAGCAGCAUAGAAACCAUAGAGAUUUCUGUGAAGUGCUUUUACUUUUUUUUGUGGGGCUGCUUUCGAAGCAGCUGAAAGGUUUAGAUGCUGUAUUUUUUACAGCUCCUCAGUGCACAGUAAAACGUGCCCUUAACCACUUCCUUUUUUAUUAUUUUUAAUUUGAUUUGGCUUAAAAAUAAGUAUCCUCAGCAUUUUCUUGCAAUGGAGCUGAUGGGAUGGUGCUAAUUUAGGAGAGCCAGUAUUGCUCCCCAUGUCCACGUGAAAGAGUUGGGCUCCAGAUGUGGUUUUUUACCUCUCACAGGGCUGUGCUUCCAGAAACUGGUCUGAGGUGGUGGAGAUCCUGGCCAGUCCUUGAUACAGCAGCUUCUGGCCCUUUCCAGAGAACUGCCCAGGGUACAGCCAGCCUAUGGAGAUAAAUCUGCAUUGGGGAAGUAAAGCCACGCCAUCCUACAUUACUUCCUUAACCAGUGUGUGGAGAUUUGUGUAAAGGAGAUUCUCAUGUGUCUAAUAAGCCAUUCCCCCUGUGACAAAUGGAGUUCUAUCACUUGGGUACACCUCCUUGCCCUCUCUGGAUGUGAAGGGGCUUUACAGCAGCCAGGGCAAAGCCAUCCCACAUGAGGAGCACUCUGGAGCUGAUGUAAAAGGACCCAGCAUCUGGCAGGCUGUGGGAGGAGAGAUCAACUCAUAUCAUUCAAACUGUGUGGGUUUGGGGUUUCAGAGCAGCAGAUACUGACCUGUGCCUUUCAACACGAUCUGCAGUGUUUUCCCCUGCUGCUUGCAGCUGUGCAUCUCCAGCACACCCCAACAGAGGACUUUUUAGAAGACAGCCUGAAGCACAGUGCUGGCAGGCCUGGCAGGCUCCCUUGGCUCUGUAUUUGGUACCAGCGUCUCCCACCCGCUGCCCACCAGCACGGUACCCUUGUGUUUAAGCACACAGUAUAUAUGUGUCACCAAAUGCAAAAUCCCUCACCCACUAAGCAGCCAGCUUAACCUGAGGUUUCAGCCCUGAGACAUCCCUUUUGGCUGUAAAACCUACCACAUCGGCUCAUCGUUCAGAAACGUUCCAUAUCACAAAAUGGCUCUCAAGCACGGCUUGCCCCAGUUGCAAAAAUCAAACAAUCGCAAACAACGUCUAUUCAGAAUCAUCAGUUAAAGGUUUCCUUUUCUUUCUAGUUUCUUUGCUUUCAGGCAACACGCUUCACCUUUUCAGAAUUCCCUUUGCAGAUGUGGGAGCUAGAAGUUAACUUUGAUCUUAACCAACAGAGACUGGGGCAGGGAAAUGCAAGUGAAUGAUUGGCCCUGCCUUAAUGUGUGUGCUCCCCAGGUGAACUGCUCCCACCACUCACCCACGAUGUGACUGCUUGGUUCAGCUGAUGUUCUUUGCUCUGCGCUGAAGGAGGAUUUAUUCUGGGAGCCUGAAUUCCCCCUGCCGUGCUUCUGGAGCUGCCACACUACAGGGGAAGAAAUAAGGACAGGGCAAGGGACACCAACUACCCAAUUAAAAUCACUGAACAGUGACACUGGAAAUCCAAGUCAAGCUUUGUUUUCUGCUUUGAUCCCCAGAAGCCCACCGCUGUGAAGCAGGCCUCUUAUCUUCAUAUGCAACUGGAAAAAGCCUGCAUCAGCAAGAGAGCGUGGUCUGUGCUGCUCUGGUACCUGCAGCAUUCAACAAUAGGUGCUGCAAGCACAGGGCUGCUGCCACUGCCAUUACCCUUGUGCCAGAAGUCUGUCAAGCAGCUGCUCUCUCUAAACUGCCCUGCUUAAUAGUGCCUUCCUUUUUUUCCCUUCUGCCCCUCCGGGGACUCAUAUUUCUCACCUCCCACUGAAACACUUAUUGGAAAGUAUAUCCUUCACCUCUGGCCUCAGUGUCCCCUUCCCCAGGCUGGAAAAUCAUCGAUGAUGGGGGUGGAGGGUGGCAGCUUGUUCUCAGCUCAUCAAUCUAUCACACAUGUCACAAACCUCUGCAGAGGCGAGCUGGCUCCAACCCU
rnacentral:lncRNA from 7 species